ensembl:lncRNA
UAUGAAGGAAGGAGGAUUGCUGGACUGAACGCCAGAAGGAAUAUGGAUUUCUGGGCUCAAAGCCAAAAGGCAAGGUCCUUGCUGGGCCAAAAGGAAAAAAGAAGGGUUUUCUGCUCCCAAACACAGCAGGAAAAUAGCAUGUAAGGUCUUAUGCAGAAGAAAGGAGGAGUGCUGGGGAACAAACCAGAAGGAAGGGAUCUUGCUGCACUGAAACCCAGAAAGACAGGGACUUUCUGGGGAGAAACUCGGAAGGAAGAGGACUUGCGGGAAAAAAAAGGCAGAAAGAUUUAGGCAUCCUGUGCCAAAACCCUGAAGGAAGGGAGGUUGCUCAUCUGUACCCAGAAAGACGUGGGAGUGCUGGACCACAGAACAAAAAGAAGGGGCUUUUCUGGACUGAAACUCAGAAGGAAGGUGAUUGCUGGUCAGAAUUGCAAAUGGAAAGGGUUGCUUCUUGGGCCAAACCCAAAAAGGAAGAAAGCUGGCUGGUCACAAAGGCAGAAGGAAUGGCCCUCUUCUCCGCAAAUCAAGUAAUAGCAGGUGCUUGCAUAUCAAUACACAGAAGAAAGAAGGCGUCCUGGGCCAGAAACCAAAAAUAAGGGCCUUGCUGGACUGAUACCCAGAAGAAAGGUGGCUUCCUGGGCAGAAACAAAGAAGGAAGGUGGCAGGGUGGGCAGACAGCCAGAAGGAACGGGGCUUCCUAGGCCAAAACGGAGAAGGAAAGGGGCUUGCUGGGCAGAAAUCCAUAAAGCAGAGUUCUUGCUGGGCAGAAACCAAGAAGGAAGCGGGUUCACUGGGAAGAAACCCAGAUCGAAGAGGUCUUGCUGGGCCCAAAGCCAGAAAAAAUUGGACUUGCUAUGCUGAAAGGGUGAAGAAAAGGAGUUUGAAUUGCCAAACGUCAGAAGGAAUGUGGCUUUGUGGGCCCAAAGCCAUAAGGAAAGGUCCCUGUUGGGACAAAAUGAAUAAAGAAUGGGUUUUCUGCUCCCACACCCAGAAGGAAGAGGGCUUGUAAGGCCAUACCCAGAAGAGAGGGGGAGUGCUGGACAACAAACCAUAGGGAAGGAGUCUUGCGGGACUGAAAACCCUGAAAAAGGGGACUUUCUGGAGCGAAAUUCAGAAGGAAAGGGGUUUGCAGGGAAAAAAGCAGGAAGAAAGGGGCAUCCUGUGUCGAAACCCAGAAGGAAGGGGUCUUACUGGACUGAAACCCAGAUGCAAAGGAAACUGGCUUGCUGGGAAAAAAGGCAGGAAGAUAGGGUCAUCCUGUGCGGAAACCCAGAAGGAAGUGGGCUUGCUGGUCCAUACCCAGAAAGAAGUGUGAGUGCUGGACAACAAAGCAUAAAGAAGGGGUUUUGCUGGACUGAAACGCAGAAGUAAGGGGUCUUGCUGGGCAGAAAAUCUGAGGAAAGAGAGAUUUCUGGGCCAAAACACAGAAGGAAGGGGCCUUCCUGUUGAAGGUUAUUUGUGGUCAGAAAUGUAAAUGGAAGUGGUUGAUUGCUGGGCCAAACCCAAGAGGGAAGACGGCUUGCUGGACUUAAAGGCAGAAGGAAUGGGCUUUCCAGUGCCCAAACCCAGUAAGAAAGCAGGCCUGUAGCUCCAUAUCCAGAAACAAUUGGGAGUGCUUUGCCACAAAGCAAAGGAAGUGGUCUAGCUGGACUUAAACGCAGGAGAAAGUCAACAUGCUGGGCAGAAGUCCACAAGCAAAGGCACUGCUGGACAGAAACCAAGAAGGAAUAGAUCUUGCUGGACUGAAACUCAGAUGGAAGGGUACUGGCUAGGAAAAAAGGCAAGAAGAAAUGGGCAUAAUGUGCCAAAACCCAGAAUGAAGGGGUCUUGUGGGUUCAUAUCCAGAAAAAAUCAGGUGUGCUGGGCCACAAAGCAAAAAGAAGGGGUCUUGUUGAACUGAAACGCAGAAAGAAGUGGAUAUGCUUGGCAGGAAUCUGCAAGCAAUUGACAUUGCUAGACAGAAACCAAAAGUAAUGGGUCUCGCUGCAAAGAAACCCGGAAGGAAGGGGACUUUCUAGGGCUAAACUCAGAUGGAAGAGCGUCUGCUGUGAAAAAAGGCAGGAAGAAAUGGGCAUCCUGUGUCUAAACUCCAUAUGGAAUGGUGCUUGCUGAUCUGUACCCAGAAGGAAGCAGGAGUGAGGGAGCACAAAGCAUAAAGGAGGCGUUUUGCUGGACUGAAAUGCAGAAGGAAGGG